rnacentral:rRNA from 1 species
AUUGAACGCUGGCGGCAUGCCUUACACAUGCAAGUCGAACGGCAGCACGGGAGCAAUCCUGGUGGCGAGUGGCGAACGGGUGAGUAAAGCAUCGGAACGUGCCCAGUCGUGGGGGAUAACGUAGCGAAAGCUACGCUAAUACCGCAUACGAUCUGUGGAUGAAAGCGGGGGACCGUAAGGCCUCGCGCGAUUGGAGCGGCCGAUGUCAGAUUAGGUAGUUGGUGGGGUAAAGGCUCACCAAGCCGACGAUCUGUAGCUGGUCUGAGAGGACGACCAGCCACACUGGGACUGAGACACGGCCCAGACUCCUACGGGAGGCAGCAGUGGGGAAUUUUGGACAAUGGGCGCAAGCCUGAUCCAGCAAUGCCGCGUGCAGGAUGAAGGCCUUCGGGUUGUAAACUGCUUUUGUACGGAGCGAAAAGGCUUCCACUAAUACUGGGGGCUCAUGACGGUACCGUAAGAAUAAGCACCGGCUAACUACGUGCCAGCAGCCGCGGUAAUACGUAGGGUGCAAGCGUUAAUCGGAAUUACUGGGCGUAAAGCGUGCGCAGGCGGUCUUGUAAGACAGGUGUGAAAUCCCCGGGCUUAACCUGGGAACUGCACUUGUGACUGCAAGGCUGGAGUACGGCAGAGGGGGAUGGAAUUCCGCGUGUAGCAGUGAAAUGCGUAGAUAUGCGGAGGAACACCGAUGGCGAAGGCAAUCCCCUGGGCCUGUACUGACGCUCAUGCACGAAAGCGUGGGGAGCAAA